rnacentral:rRNA from 1 species
UGGGGAAUAUUGCACAAUGGGGGGAAACCCUGAUGCAGCGACGCCGCGUGAACGAAGAAGUAUUUCGGUAUGUAAAGUUCUAUCAGCAGGGAAGAUAAUGACGGUACCUGACUAAGAAGCCCCGGCUAACUACGUGCCAGCAGCCGCGGUAAUACGUAGGGGGGCAAGCGUUAUCCGGAUUUACUGGGUGUAAAGGGAGCGUAGCCGGAACGGCAAGUUUGAAGUGAAAUACCCGGGCUUAACUCGGGAACUGCUUUGAAAACUGUCGAUCUAGAGUGUCGGAGAGGUAAGUGGAAUUCCUGGUGUAGUAGUGAAAUGCGUAGAUAUCAGGAAGAACACCGGUGGCGAAGGCGGCCUUCUGGGCCUCGACUGAC